GCCUGUCGCUCAAUGGUUAGAGCCGGCCGCUCAUAACGGUCUGGUUGCAGGUUCGAGUCCUGCCGGGC
rnacentral:tRNA from 1 species